rnacentral:misc_RNA from 1 species
CAAAAUUUGUUGAUGAUGGUAGCAGCUGCCAAACAAAAGGGACCCAACUGUCAACAUCAGCACGUUAACAAAUUAAAAAAAAUCAGUAACACUUAAGAGACCAAUAACUAAAGAGGAUAAAAAACAACAGAUGCAAAUUGACUUCAAUCCCACUAAGAAUUCCAAUUACAUACAGCACUUGAGAUGUUUAAAUGGUCAUUUAACUAAUAGCAGCCUAAAUUCUCCAGGCACCAUACAUAGGCAAUUGUGUUGUAGGAUUAAUAAUUGUGCAUCUGGAUCAACUUAUAGGAAAAAUACAAAUUACAUGGUUCGUCUAUAACACAUAUCUUCUGAAAAACAAUUAAACUAUAAAAUAAAAGUCAUAACAGGUUGGCUCAACAAUUCUGCAAUGCAUAAAACAGCAAAUAUGAUGGUUUCACUUCAGCUCUGGAGAGAGCACAAGGAGUUCUCAUAAUAGGGAAAAAAUUGUUUAAGAUUCUAAUAGCAUUAUCUAGUAAGCUUAGCAUUGGACAUAAUUGAAGCUUCAACACUCAAGCCAAACCUCAUAGCAUGCACUGGUAGUAAGCCCUUCCAUGAAGAGUGUAGCCUUGUCUAGACUCCAAAAAAAAUCUGGUCCAAUCCUUGUAUACUGGAUCCACAGCAAAACAGUGCAUAUCAAUUGACUGGCAAAUAGGAGCAAAUUCAGGAGCCUCUAGGCUAGUUCCCGCUGCGGUCGAACCCAAAGAUGCACCUUUUCUCUAUCCUUCUCAAUCUCCUGCC